rnacentral:rRNA from 1 species
CGUGUGGUUCUAUUUUGUUGGUUUCUAGGACCGCCGUAAUGAUUAAUAGGGACAGUCGGGGGUGUCAGUAUUCAAUUGUCAGAGGUGAAAUUCUUGGAUUUAUUGAAGACUAACUACUGCGAAAGCAUUCACCAAGGAUGUUUUCAUUAAUCAGUGAACGAAAGUUAGGGGAUCGAAGACGAUCAGAUACCGUCGUAGUCUUAACCAUAAACUAUGCCGACUAGGGAUCGGGCGAUGUUAUUUUUUGACUCGCUCGGCACCUUACGAGAAAUCAAAGUUUUUGGGUUCUGGGGGGAGUAUGGUCGCAAGGCUGAAACUUAAAGAAAUUGACGGAAGGGCACCACCAGGAGUGGAGCCUGCGGCUUAAUUUGACUCAACACGG